AUCUCUAUAGCUCAGUGGGCAGAGCAUGAAGCUCUUAAUUUCAGGGCUGUGAGUUUGAGCCCCCCACUGGGCAAA